CUGGCUCAGAAUGAACGCUGGCGGCAUGGAUUAGGCAUGCAAGUCGAACGGGGUCCUUCGGGACCUAGUGGCGAAAGGGUGAGUAACACGUGAGCAAUCUGCCCCCAAGGCCGGAAUAAGCACUGGAAACGGUGUCUAAAACCGGAUGAGGCCUGGAGUCGCAUGACUCCUCAGCCAAAUAUUGAUACCCUGGGGAUGAGCUCGCGGCCCAUUAGCUAGUUGGCGGGGUAACGGCCCACCAAGGCUGCGACGGGUAGGUGGUCUGAGAGGAUGGUCACCCACACUGGGACUGAGACACUGCCCAGACUCCUACGGGAGGCUGCAGUCGAGAAUCUUCCGCAAUGGGCGCAAAGCCUGACGGAGCGAUGCCGCGUGAGGGACGAAGGCCUUCGGGUCGUAAACCUCUGUCACCGGGACGAAAGCUGACGGUACCCGGAAAGGAAGCCACGGCUAACCACGUGCCAGCAGCCGC
rnacentral:rRNA from 1 species